GCCAUCCAUCUCUGGAUCUAGGGUCCAAAUCAUAUCCUGAACCGGUAUGCAGUACAUCUAUUCCUAGACAUCCAAUUUAGAUCAAACGGCUACCACUCCAUCUCCCGAUCUCCCCAACUGAGCUUAGGCAGCGCCAGCGCUCUUGCCCCCCACGGGGCUUGCCGGAGUUGGUCGAGUCAGCGCCCCCAUCCAUUAAUCUCUAAUCCAAUCGGUGUGUGAGACGAGCAGGAAGCGCCGAAGCUGAGCAGCACGGAGACAAGCGGAACAGCGCUGCGUCCAGUGGCAGAUCUGAAUUUUGCUUCGUCCUGGUCUCCAGGAAGCCAAGCACCAGCCACCAGGCCAAGGGUUUGGAUCUGGCCGACCGACAGACUCAAGCUGUUCGUGUUCGUUCUAUAAAAUUAGGAAUAUGUUAUAUUUCACUCGAGAUUGGUCACUGUAAUAAUACAAUUCACUAGCUAAAAAUAUGUUUGUAGAUAUUUAAAAUGAAAAUAUUUUGAAGCAUUUUUAAGGCUUAAGAACUCGGAAAAUAAAUUUAUCUAGCAGCAUCAACUCAUGAACAAUAUGUAUUAAUUAUUGUAUUUCUAGAAUUCGUAUCGACUUAUUUUUAGGC